CAGUCGCCGCGGGAAUACGGAGGGAGCUAGCGUUGUUCGGAAUUACUGGGCGUAAAGCGCACGUAGGCGGCUUUGUAAGUUAGAGGUGAAAGCCUGGAGCUCAACUCCAGAAUUGCCUUUAAGACUGCAUCGCUUGAAUCCAGGAGAGGUGAGUGGAAUUCCGAGUGUAGAGGUGAAAUUCGUAGAUAUUCGGAAGAACACCAGUGGCGAAGGCGACUUACUGGUCCGAUACUGACGCUGAGGUGCGAAAGCGUGGGGAGCAAACAGGAUUAGAUACCCCCGUAGUCCCUGUCUCUUAUAC
rnacentral:rRNA from 1 species